rnacentral:lncRNA from 1 species
CUCCACACUCUAAGUCAGUCACGUCUGUAGUGUUUCUUCCUCUCUAUCGCAGCUCUUGUGUUCCUCUCCACGUUGCAACUCUUCUUUCUCACUCCCGGUUGAAGCCAGCUCGUUGCCACUGUUGUUGUUGGUGUCGAGGUAAGCUUCAUGUGUUCGUUCUCACUUUUUGUUGUUGGGGUUUUGAAGUUAGGGACAUGUAGGGUAGGGUAAGGAAGAGACAAGACUAUAUAUAGUGACCAAACAAACAACCCCUUGCAAGGCCUUCGGCCAGGGCACCUUGUGUGCUACUAUACUGUCCAGUGUCAGUGUUUGUGACUUUGUGUCCUAAGACUAAAGGGUGUUCCUCUUAGGCGUGUCGUUGAUAUAUUCUGGGGCACAGUUCCUCCAUUGAUAUAUUUUGGGUGUUGUUGAUGAGAGAUUGAACAAUGAGUAUGAUGUGGAUGAAAUAACAAGCGUGAUUGUUGUGGGGUAUGGUGUGCUAACCCAAACAACAACGAAAGGCCCAUGGCCGCACAAGUAAUAAAAGUUUUUCAACUUGAAGCGCCAUUAGCCCCAAAGGAUGACAAGUAUAAUGCUUAGACCGAUUCAAUGUCGACC